rnacentral:rRNA from 1 species
UGCGUAGGUGGCCUUUUAAGUUGGAUGUGAAAUACCCGGGCUUAACUUGGGGGUGCAUCCAAAACUGGGAGGCUAGAGUGCAGGAGAGGAAAGCGGAAUUCCUAGUGUAGCGGUGAAAUGCGUAGAUAUUAGGAGGAACACCAGUGGCGAAGGCGGCUUUCUGGACUGUAACUGACACUGAGGCACGAAAGCGUGGGGAGCAAACA